rnacentral:rRNA from 1 species
UUGAAGCAUAUGGUGCUCAUGGUGUUCGCUUAGUGAGUGAUGAACAAAGGCCGGCUCAAACAAAGUAAACGUAGCUAAAGGUACUACAAAUGCCUGAAAAGCAAAUCAAUAUGUCAGAUGCUCAAUAUAUUCUGAGCACAAAAUGAAUUCUGGUGCCAUUUCUUCAAAUUAAGGUUUCAAGCCAUGGCAAUUUAUGGUUUUACUUUUGAAAGAUUAAAAGCAAUUGCACUCAUCAAAUAGAACUUAAUUUUUAACCAUAGCACCUUCGGGUGCUUUUUUUGCGAGAAGAAAAUGCCAAGCCCUAUUAUCCAAUAUUUCCAAUAUGAACAUUUACCUGAACAUUUGCAGCAAGUUAGUAAGCCAAUUGGUGAUUUAGCUCGGCAAAUGGAUGAGCAACUUCCUGACGGGCCUGAAAAAUCCACAGGAUUAAGAAAGCUACUUGAAGCAAAAGAUGCAUUUGUACGCCAAGCUUUAAGUAAAUAAUCAUUUAUAGAAAUGAAGCGUCCUAAAGGGCGCUUUUUUAUUGCCUGCCGAAAGCGGAUGCUAACGGCGAAUCCGGGCGGAUGCCCAUUUUGUAUAUAUAGGUUGGAUGACCAAUGAAACUUAAAACAGUAACAAUCGACGGUAAAGUUUAUGCGGAAGUAGACGGUGAUAAGCCGAUCUAUAUUCAUGAUGACGGCAAAGAAAUGCCACAUGAUGCACCACACUCGGUAGCAACAAUUGCACGCUUAAACAAUGAAGCUAAAACACAUCGUGAAGCCAAAGAAGCAGC